rnacentral:rRNA from 1 species
AUUGAACGCUGGCGGCAUGCCUUACACAUGCAAGUCAAACGGUAACAGGUCUUUCGGGAUGCUGACGAGUGGCGAACGGGUGAGUAAUACAUCGGAACGUGCCUAGUAGUGGGGGAUAACUACUCGAAAGAGUGGCUAAUACCGCGUGAGAUCUAUGAAUGAAAGCAGGGGACCUUCGGGCCUUGUGCUACUAGAGCGGCCGAUGGCAGAUUAGGUAGUUGGUGGGAUAAAAGCUUACCAAGCCUACGAUCUGUAGCUGGUCUGAGAGGACGAUCAGCCACACUGGGACUGAGACACGGCCCAGACUCCUACGGGAGGCAGCAGUGGGGAAUUUUGGACAAUGGGCGCAAGCCUGAUCCAGCAAUGCCGCGUGCAGGAUGAAGGCCUUCGGGUUGUAAACUGCUUUUGUACGGAACGAAAAGUCUUGGGUUAAUACCCUGGGAUCAUGACGGUACCGUAAGAAUAAGCACCGGCUAACUACGUGCCAGCCGCCGCAGUAA